GCCUCGGCCUCCCAAAGUGCUGGGAUUACAGGCGUGAGCCACCGCGCCCAGCCUCCAUUCUCCCUUUCUUAUGCCAAGCCAAAGGCUAUGUGCUGGAUGCCUGAACCUGCAGGACUUGGACAAGGUGGAGUUUCUCCCAACACUUUUCACAUAAAAGUUCCUAUGAUGACCCUGCCUUGAGGGCAGAGACAGAGGAUCUGGCUUCCAGUACUUGUUUGUCCCUUCCAGGCACCUAACAUGCUGCCAGGCACCCACUAGACAAUUGGUACCAUCUGCCCAUGAGGCCCAGCCUGUCAAGACAACCACAACCAGCACAGACCACACCAUCCUGAGGAGACCCUCAGACCACCCUGCCCCAUGUCUGCUCUGCCAAGGAAAACAGAAGCUCCGUGAGUGCAUGGCCUGUGUCCUCUUAUUUAUUACUUGGUCCCAGGGCCUAAAAUAACACUUGGCACACAGUAGGUUCUCAAUCAAUAUUUGAUGAAUGAAUAAGUGGAUCAACUGACUUAAGAAUCCAACAACUUAAUUUAACUGCCAACUUAAAACAAAUGUCAACAUUCCAACAAAGCAGCCUCUCUGCUCACAGUAAUUCUGAUGACAUGUAUUUUUCAGUGGUACAGACCAUGAGAGGGUAAGCAAUUCUUUAUUCUGGAAAUACUUAAUGAUGGUAAAGAGAAGCCCCAAAGAGUUCUCUUGUGGAUGAUCUGCGAGUUCUCUUGUGAAUGACCACUCUUAAUCACAAUGUCAGAAACAUUCCUCUUUUAUUUUACACAUCCAUUCACCAAGUACUUAUUGCACACCUCCUACCUGCCAAGCACUGUUUUAGGCACUGAGGACUCACAGGAACAAGAAAAAGUCCCAGCUUCCUGGGAGUUCCCAUUCUAGAGAUGGAGAAGGACAAUAAAGAAAGGAAUGAAAAGGAGGACCUGAGACUGUGAGAAGAGCUGUGAGGGGAAGAAACGCAUGCCAGCAGAGAGGCCCCUUGACAUGCAGUAAUGCAGUGCAUGGUGGACCGGCUCACUCAUAUCAGGCUUCUAAGACCCCUAUUUUGGAGGGCUCUUACUGUAACUAGCUGGUCAUCAGAGGAUCUUACUGUUUUAAUGAAAAGAAAACUAGAAAAAAUUUAAAAGUCAAACAGAACACAAAGCAACAAGUGUCAGGUUAGAGUGAGUGGGCAGGACACUAACUGAGAGAGGGCAGUCAGGGGAAACCUCUCUGAACAUGAAAACGGAGCCAUGGCUUGCACAGCAAGAAGCAGCCAACCACAGGAGGAUCUGGGGGCAGGGAAGGCAGGUCAGAAAAAGGAAAGAUUAAGUGAGGAUGAGCUUGACAUUUUCAAGAGAGACCAGUAGAGCAGAGGGUGCUGAGCAAAAUAGAGAAUGGUGCAAAAUAGAGACAGAGACAGGCAGGGAUGAGAGCACGUGAGAAAGGAUAUGAAACUUGGUGCAGUGUAGCAACAGUUUUCAGGGGUUAGGAACAGACUACAAAUGGAUAAUUGAGAUCAAGGAAGGUGUCAGGGAAACGGCCGCUGGAUUUAGUGGAUGAGGAUGUCACUAGUGACUUUAAAGAACAGUUUCUUCUGUUGAGUUAGAAAGAUGGGAUUCAGAGCAUGAGAGCAGGGACACUGCCUGCAACCUCUAAGUGCCAGACACUAUUUAUCUCCUUUAAUUCCCUGAAGGACUUCAUAACCUAAGUAUUAACCACCUCACUUCAUAGAUAAAGAAAGAGUCUUAACAGAUAACUAACUUGCCCAAGGCCUUCUACCUCAGAAAAGCCUGGGACUGUGCUUGCGUGUUCUGAGCUCUGGAGGGAGGCAGACAUCCUGCAGUUGUCUUGACUCCCACAACACAGCAAAACCAAAGUGCUUCAUAAAAGUUACUGCAUAGAAAAAGCACAGCAAAGUGCCAAGAAAAACUCUUGAUACACAGAGCAAAAUAAUAAAAGAUCAUGGUAACUUUGGACAAAAUUAAAAUUCUGAGAAUAUGUCCAAGAGUGGGAAAUGUCUCAAAACUGAUCAUAUCUUUAAGUAAAGCCUGAGGUCUGUUGGGGACAGGUCAAAUGCUAAGAAAAUGUCCCCAAAUGGGCUAAUAUUCUGCCUUCUAUCUUCAGACCCAAGAUUGCUGAGCAACCUUGGCAACUACUGUUUGGGACCACAGAAUUUUAUUAUUCCAUAUAUCCAAAAGCACAUGUAGCAGUCAUGCCAAACAUUGAAACUUGGGAUUCUCUCUGAGGGUGAUGCUGUCUUUUCUUUAGAAAAAUAAUAAAGAUGGAAUGACAGAAUUAGAAAAAUCAUCAUUCUGAAACCAGCAAUGUGAUAACUGAUAACUAUCAAGAUUCAUCAAUGAUAACAAAUCAUUGCAUGGAAAUGAGUUGGUGAAGAGGAUAUUCACACAGUCUCCAAAUUUCCCACUUCAGAUUACUAUUAAUUACAAAUUGGGGAGGCACCUUUACAGUGGUGAAACCAAGCAUAUAUACCUUAACCAAGUAAUCAAACCUAUCAACACCAAUAACGACUCAAACUGACCUUAUGAGCCUCCUGAUGUGAUUCAAUGGGAAGGACACACCACUGCCCACAUAGUAUUCUUACCAAAAACAUUUCAUACGACUCUAAUUGGUUGUGGGACACUGCAGAAAUAACUGGCCUGGACCCUUUAAAAACGUUAAUGGCAUAACAGACAACCAAAAGGCAAGGGAACAGUUCUAGAUUAAAGAAGACUAAACAGAUUUGACAACUACAAACAAUGGGUAAUCUUUGAAUCCUGGAUUUUUUUUUAAAUCUAUAAAAUACAUAAUUGUACUGGGAUAACUGGUGAAAUCUGAAUAUGGACCACAAAAUAGAUAAUACUAAUUUAUCAGUGUUAAAUUUCUUGGGUUUGAUAGCGGUAUUGUGGUUAUGUAGGAAAAUGUCCUUGUUCUCAGAAGAUAUAGGCUGAACGACUUACAGGGAAAGUAUGAAGCUUAAAGUCUCUCUACACACGCGUGUGUGUGUGUAAGAGAGAGAGAGGGAAAGCACAUGUGACAAGAUGUUAACUGGGGAAUUUAGGUGAAGAAUAUUAGAAUGUUCUAUGUACCCUUGAAGUUUUUCAAAAUAAAAGGUGGGGGGGAAGUUUAGGGUUUCUAAAUUCUAGUGUCAUCCCACCUAGCCCACACCAUGGGAAAACCUCUUAAAAAUGUAUUGAUAAUCUUAGUGUCUAACAAAGGCUGACAGCAAGAAUGUUUCAUCUUAUAAACUGUGACUAUGUUUUACCUUUUUAUAAGACUACAGAUAUAUCUGCAAAUUAUAUUAUUUUUAGAGUACUUAGAGCAUUGGGCUAGAAGGAUGUUAAAAAUAAAAUUUGUAAAUCAAAAAGGACAAAAUUUGAACUUCCAUUUCUCUGCCUGGGUAGCCUCAAAGCUAACUAUAUUUACCAGAGCUU
rnacentral:lncRNA from 1 species